GGGCGCACGGUGGAUGCCUUGACACUAGGAGUCGAUGAAGGACGGGACUAACGCCGAUAUGCUUCGGGGAGCUGUAAGUAAGCUUUGAUCCGAAGAUUUCCGAAUGGGGAAACCCACCAUACGUAAUGGUAUGGUAUCCUUAUCUGAAUACAUAGGAUAAGGAAGACAGACCCAGGGAACUGAAACAUCUAAGUACCUGGAGGAAGAGAAAGCAAAUGCGAUUUCCUGAGUAGCGGCGAGCGAAACGGAACAUAGCCCAAACCAAGAGGCUUGCCUCUUGGGGUUGUAGGACAUUCUAUACGGAGUUACAAAGGAACGAGGUAGACGAAGCGACCUGGAAAGGUCCGUCGUAGAGGGUAACAACCCCGUAGUCGAAACUUCGUUCUCUCUUGAAUGUAUCCUGAGUACGGCGGAACACGUGAAAUUCCGUCGGAAUCUGGGAGAACCAUCUCCCAAGGCUAAAUACUCCCUAGUGAUCGAUAGUGAACCAGUACCGUGAGGGAAAGGUGAAAAGCACCCCGGAAGGGGAGUGAAAGAGAUCCUGAAACCGUGUGCCUACAAAUAGUCAGAGCCCGUUAACGGGUGAUGGCGUGCCUUUUGUAGAAUGAACCGGCGAGUUACGAUCCCGUGCGAGGUUAAGCUGAAGAGGCGGAGCCGCAGCGAAAGCGAGUCUGAAUAGGGCGUUUAGUACGUGGUCGUAGACCCGAAACCAGGUGAUCUACCCAUGUCCAGGGUGAAGUUCAGGUAACACUGAAUGGAGGCCCGAACCCACGCACGUUGAAAAGUGCGGGGAUGAGGUGUGGGUAGCGGAGAAAUUCCAAUCGAACCUGGAGAUAGCUGGUUCUCCCCGAAAUAGCUUUAGGGCUAGCCUUAAGUGUAAGAGUCUUGGAGGUAGAGCACUGAUUGGACUAGGGGUCCUCAUCGGAUUACCGAAUUCAGUCAAACUCCGAAUGCCAAUGACUUAUCCUUAGGAGUCAGACUGCGAGUGAUAAGAUCCGUAGUCAAAAGGGAAACAGCCCAGACCGCCAGCUAAGGUCCCAAAGUGUGUAUUAAGUGGAAAAGGAUGUGGAGUUGCUUAGACAACUAGGAUGUUGGCUUAGAAGCAGCCACCAUUUAAAGAGUGCGUAAUAGCUCACUAGUCGAGUGACUCUGCGCCGAAAAUGUACCGGGGCUAAAUACACCACCGAAGCUGCGGAUUGAUACCAAUGGUAUCAGUGGUAGGGGAGCGUUCUAAGGACAGUGAAGUCAGACCGGAAGGACUGGUGGAGUGCUUAGAAGUGAGAAUGCCGGUAUGAGUAGCGAAAGACGGGUGAGAAUCCCGUCCACCGAAUGCCUAAGGUUUCCUGAGGAAGGCUCGUCCGCUCAGGGUUAGUCAGGACCUAAGCCGAGGCCGACAGGCGUAGGCGAUGGACAACAGGUUGAUAUUCCUGUACCACCUCUUUAUCGUUUGAGCAAUGGAGGGACGCAGAAGGAUAGAAGAAGCGUGCGAUUGGUUGUGCACGUCCAAGCAGUUAGGCUGAUAAGUAGGCAAAUCCGCUUAUCGUGAAGGCUGAGCUGUGAUGGGGAAGCUCCUUAUGGAGCGAAGUCUUUGAUUCCCCGCUGCCAAGAAAAGCUUCUAGCGAGAUAAAAGGUGCCUGUACCGCAAACCGACACAGGUAGGCGAGGAGAGAAUCCUAAGGUGUGCGAGAGAACUCUGGUUAAGGAACUCGGCAAAAUGACCCCGUAACUUCGGGAGAAGGGGUGCUUUCUUAACGGAAAGCCGCAGUGAAUAGGCCCAAGCGACUGUUUAGCAAAAACACAGCUCUCUGCGAAGCCGUAAGGCGAAGUAUAGGGGGUGACACCUGCCCGGUGCUGGAAGGUUAAGGAGAGGGGUUAGCGUAAGCGAAGCUCUGAACUGAAGCCCCAGUAAACGGCGGCCGUAACUAUAACGGUCCUAAGGUAGCGAAAUUCCUUGUCGGGUAAGUUCCGACCCGCACGAAAGGUGUAACGAUUUGGGCACUGUCUCAACCAGAGACUCGGUGAAAUUAUAGUACCUGUGAAGAUGCAGGUUACCCGCGACAGGACGGAAAGACCCCGUGGAGCUUUACUGUAGCCUGAUAUUGAAUUUUGGUACAGUUUGUACAGGAUAGGCGGGAGCCUUUGAAACCGGAGCGCUAGCUUCGGUGGAGGCGCUGGUGGGAUACCGCCCUGACUGUAUUGAAAUUCUAACCUACGGGUCUUAUCGACCCGGGAGACAGUGUCAGGUGGGCAGUUUGACUGGGGCGGUCGCCUCCUAAAGUGUAACGGAGGCGCCCAAAGGUUCCCUCAGAAUGGUUGGAAAUCAUUCGUAGAGUGCAAAGGCAUAAGGGAGCUUGACUGCGAGACCUACAAGUCGAGCAGGGACGAAAGUCGGGCUUAGUGAUCCGGUGGUUCCGCAUGGAAGGGCCAUCGCUCAACGGAUAAAAGCUACCCCGGGGAUAACAGGCUUAUCUCCCCCAAGAGUCCACAUCGACGGGGAGGUUUGGCACCUCGAUGUCGGCUCAUCGCAUCCUGGGGCUGUAGUCGGUCCCAAGGGUUGGGCUGUUCGCCCAUUAAAGCGGUACGCGAGCUGGGUUCAGAACGUCGUGAGACAGUUCGGUCCCUAUCCGUCGUGGGCGUAGGAAAUUUGAGAGGAGCUGUCCUUAGUACGAGAGGACCGGGAUGGACGCACCGCUGGUGUACCAGUUGUUCUGCCAAGGGCAUAGCUGGGUAGCUAUGUGCGGAAGGGAUAAGUGCUGAAAGCAUCUAAGCAUGAAGCCCCCCUCAAGAUGAGAUUUCCCAUAGCGUAAGCUAGUAAGAUCCCUGAAAGAUGAUCAGGUUGAUAGGUUCGAGGUGGAAGCAUGGUGACAUGUGGAGCUGACGAAUACUAAUAGAUCGAGGACUUAACCAU
rnacentral:rRNA from 1 species